rnacentral:tRNA from 1 species
GGCUCAGUGGUCUAAUUGAUAGAUCACUCGGCUAACGUAUGAGAAUCGUUGGUUCAAAUCCCACCUGAGCAA